UUCCGUUUAUUCUAUUUCACUAAGGCGCUAAUUUCUUCUACUUAGCUUUUAAUUAAUUAGCAUUUGAAAAUUAAACUAAGGUAACAAAUUAAUUAUAAUUGCUCAUCGUUGAAUCCUCUCUAUAGCAGCCAUACGCAACCAACAUCGAUCGUCGACGACGCCGGCUGGACCAACCAAUUGCUGAGGAAUGCGCAUUUUGCUAUAGUGGUUUAUGUGUAUGAGCAGAAUUCCCCGGGGAGAAUCUUUUUAAGCAGCUGAAGUGAAAGGGGAUCCAACUAUGUUCUUAGUAUUAUUUAUAUGAGAAGGAAUCGGAGACCAUCAACCAUUUAUUUUUGCCUUGUGUAGUGACUUAUCAGCUGUGGUAACUAUUUUUAACAUGAAAGAUAUCAGAAGAAUCAUCUUAUCAGCUGUGAUAACUAUUUUUAACAUGAAAGAUAUCAGAAGAAUCAUGCCAAAGCUUCCUGGAGAAUUGGUUGCUUCCUGAAACAACAUUGGCAGAAAUGUGAGACAGAAGAAAUGGUGGAAGACAAUUCCCAAAUGUAUUUGGUGGUCUAUAUAGAAUGAAGGGAAUGCAAGAUAUUUUGGAGAGAAAAGUAGCUCUAUUCAGAAAAUUAAGAUGAGCUGUGUAUUUUUAUUCAACUUUUGAUGUAAAGAAAUUUAAUAAGAAGCAGACUCACAUUAUAGUCCUUGUUAGAAAGGAUUCACUUUUGUUUUGUUUUUUGAAAUGUCAUAUGGAUCCCAGCACAUUCUGCUGAGAAUAUGUAAUGUUGUUUCCUUUCUUAAAAAACAAAAAAGGAGUUUCUAGUGAAGUAAUUCUUUUAAGAACACUUGCUGAUCUUAUGUGAAUCUUAUCCCAGUUUAUGGAUGCUCCUACACGCACCUGUUGGUAUGCUCUUGCAGGGGCUAUUCACUCUACAACCUUCUUGUCCGCUUUUGUUGGAAUCUUUCAGGCUGCCGUAUGUGCCCACCAGAAGGUGGAAUCAAAGGACCAUAAGCUUGUAUAUUGGGUAGCUGGGGCUCUCUCAGGCCUCUCUGUGUUGCUGGAGAAGAAAGCUAGACGUAGAGAACUUGCGUUGUAUGUUCUUCCUUGAGCUGCAGAUUCUUUGUGGUAUAUACUAGUGAACCGUCAUUUGCUUCCGGAUAUCAAGAAUGCCGAGGAACACUUUGGUUUUGUCGAAAGCCAAUUGCUGAUGACGGGUGCAAAUCUGAAACAAUUUUGUUCAGAGUUUAUUCAAGAAAUACUCCCUGCAUUUUUGUCAUAUGCCGAGGUGGAGACCAGUAAUUUAUCUUUAGAAUAAAAUACAGAAGAACAACAUCCAGCUUCUGAGUUGUUGAACAUCAGUGUGCAAGAAGAUAAUAAGGAUGAACUUUCCCGUCCAAACUCGUCCUGUCUCGAGCUAGCUGUGGAAAAUAUGGAAGGAACACAUGUUGAUUCAUCACUUCCGCCACAAGUAGAUAAGCCGAUGAAGAUGUCUGUUGAAGGUAAUUUGGAAAAGACACUCUUUUUCUGGUAAAAGUUCAGCAGUAGUUGCUUCUACUGAGGAAACUUUAAAAAUGACAUUACCAUGCCGAAUCUUCAUCAAGUGCAUCAUCAGUUGAAUCCCUAGAAUUUGACCCUUCUAUGCAAGAGGGAAAAACUAUAGAUUUCAUGGAUCUUGGUUUUAACACUUCGAAUGUCCCAUCAUUAACUUGUUCAACUUACUCUAUUGAGUCAAAAGAAGGUGCUAUUCCUGGUUUUGACGAAAUAAAUUCUAAUGCAGCACUUCCAGCAGUAUCAAAUGGUAUGUCUUCCCUACUUCCAGCAGUAUCAAAUGGUAUGUUUUCCCUAGUAUUUAGACUGGUAUAUCUUCUUGUUGGUUGUUUUAUGAUGCUAAUUUCCCCUUUACGGUAUAUUUUUUUCUCCCUCAAUUAGCACAGUGUUUCCUCUUUUUGAUUAGUAACCUUUUUAGUUUCUUGUCAAUUAUGUAUGGAAAUACUUCCUUGGUACCUCUGACUACUUUCCUUUUUUCUUUUUUCUGCUUUUGUGCUGACAAUAAAAUCUUCUGCAAGUAGUGGGUUAGUUAGAAAGCAUUGCUUUGAUGGACAAGGUAAUUGCUGUAUGUGAAACGACUCGUCAAAAAUAAAGUUGUAUACAGGAAACUACAUAGAAUUGAUAAUUGAUUUCUGCUGACCAGUAGAAUUGAUAAUUGAUUUCUGCUGACCAGACAUGACCACCAAUACUGCUAUAUCCUUUUAGUCUGGACUUUACUAAUGCUUAAUGCUUGUUUGACUCAUUUGUAGCCAGUGAAACAAUCAACAUUCAUACUGUCAACAAUAGAGUUGUAUCUCCUUUUGCUUUUGACUUCGUUUUGGUCUUUUCAUUGAAUAUUGAUAUAUUCUUAUUGAUUCAAUAAGCUUGAUGGAAGUGAAAUGGGAUCUCCUUUUGCUAUGUUCUUUAUUAGUUCUAGCUCUGUUUUCUUCUAAUUUUUGACCCUCCUUUUUAAUGUUGUGUGAGGUUAAGUUCUUUCCUUGGUUAAACUGAAUAGAUCCGCAAAAUAUCCUUCCUGGUUUCACAUGCCUAAGGGAGAAGUGUAAGACUGAGAAAUCAUUGGCAUUUAAAUCUUCUUUUCUAAUAGAUUAACAAUGCAGGAGCGUCUGUGGAACAUACUGUAAAUGAACCAGCCAUUGACUCGGUUUCUGAAGUGAAGUUUGAUGGAAACUGUGUUCUGGUUGCUAAAGGAUGAUGUGUUUUCAGGCUUUAAAUUCCAUGGAGCUCAUAUCUCUAACAAGGUCUUGCGUGCUUCUUUCCCCUGAUUUUAUCUUUCUGCACCUGAUGUCGCCUUUUCUUUUCUCACUGAUCUGUUUGGCUCCUUCGUGUCACCUUCCUUUUAUUUUCUUUGUUUGUAUGUUAGUCAUUUAUCUUUGGAGGUUGGGGUUGAGCGUGCUUGUGGCUAACUGGCUAACUGAAUAUGAAACGUUAUAACAUUGGACGUGGAGCGUGCUAAUUUGUGGUAGCUGAUGCUUCGUAUCUGGUGUACUGUGUGUAUCCUGUAUGAUUGAUGCUUUUAUCUUUGACGUGAACACUUUUAGGAUGUCAUGGAAAAUCCACAUAUAGCAGCGGAUGGUUAUACAUAUGAAGGCGAUGCAAUAAAAGGAUGGCUGUACAGUGGACACGAUACUUCUCCGAUGACAAACCUCAAGCUCGAUACCUGUGAUUUGAUUCCCAAUUAUGCUCUCUAUCGCACAAUUCAGGAAUGGCAGCAGCAGUCCUGAAACUCAUUCAGGUCUAUAAUGCCUUCUACAAACAAAAACAGCUUCAAAGAUGAACUAUAUAUACUGAUAUAGAAAGUUAGUCAUGUCUCGUGGUAGUUCCACCGAGUUAAUACUUGGAUUUGAGUUAUUUGAACUUGUCAGGUAACUAUUAAUUAUUACUACAAUACUGAGAUGUACAGAUUUUAUCACUAUGUAUACUGGAUUUAAUUCUCGAUAGCAAUUUUAUAUAAAUUGAUGAAAUUUAUUAUUUCGUGAUA